CAUGGUAGCUGUUAGAGUAUAUUAGGGAUAUCUCUAUAUUAGGUAGAUUAGGAUUGUAUCCGUAUCCUACCAGAUCUGUAGGAGAGGCUUCUUGCCCUCCAAAUCAUGUACCCCUAUAUAUUCAGCCCCAAGGCUCAGUCUAAUACAAUCCAUCCAUUACACCAAUUCUAUCCCUUCUACA